rnacentral:rRNA from 1 species
UGGAUGGCGGCAGCUACACAUGCAAGUCGUACGAGAAGGUUCCUUCGGGAACUGGAGAGUGGCGCACGGGUGAGUAACGCGUGGGGACCUACCUCUUAGUGGGGGAUAACGGUUGGAAACGACCGCUAAUACCGCAUACGCCCUUCGGGGGAAAGAUUUAUCGCUAAGAGAUGGACCCGCGUUGGAUUAGAUAGUUGGUGAGGUAACGGCUCACCAAGUCAGCGAUCCAUAGCUGGUUUGAGAGGAUGAUCAGCCACACUGGGACUGAGACACGGCCCAGACUCCUACGGGAGGCAGCAGUGGGGAAUAUUGGACAAUGGGCGCAAGCCUGAUCCAGCCAUGCCGCGUGAGUGAAGAAGGCCUUCGGGUUGUAAAGCUCUUUCAGAUGCGAAGAUGAUGACGGUAACAUCAGAAGAAGCCCCGGCUAAUUUCGUGCCAGCAGCCGCGGUAAUACGAAAGGGGCAAGCGUUGUUCGGAUUUACUGGGCGUAAAGGGCACGCAGGCGGUCCUGCCAGUCAGGGGUGAAAGCCCGGGGCUCAACCCCGGAACUGCCUCUGAUACUGCAGGACUAGAGACUAGGAGAGGGUGGUGGAAUUCCCAGUGUAGAGGUGAAAUUCGUAGAUAUUGGGAGGAACACCAGAGGCGAAGGCGGCCACCUGGACUAGAUCUGACGCUCAGGUGCGAAAGCGUGGGGAGCAAACAGGAUUAGAUACCUGUGGGUAGUCAAG